CUCCAUUAACAGUUAUGGUGCUGUAACAUUUUCCCACUGUGCUUAAAGGCCACACGGUCUCAUUCUUGUUCAAAAUCAACACAAAUGCAUCAACCAGCCUGCGCGCUUUUAAAUCAACACCGACUCGAAAAGAAACACAGAAAAGACGCACUAACCUCGCAUGUGUUCUACAUUGUGUUAAGUGCGGUCGUGACUCCUUCGCCCUCGCAGUGAUGUUGGUAAUAUCUCCCUUCUCGCCGAUAAUGAUGAUCGGUGUGAGAGAAGCUCCGAUCUUGCUGUGUGUAGGCUGCGAUUCCCCUGAAAUGUGCGUUGGCCAAGCACCCGUAUCGCCUCUCAGAAGACAGCGCACGACGAAAACACCUACUCCGGACUGAAAGCAGCAUCCUUCAGCGGAGACGACGACGGCUGUUACUGAAUCGGGGAGAUAACGACAUCUUCGGAGGGAGGCAUGAUGUGCUUGCGGGGCUUCCCCCACAAUCACACCAGGGACUCCAUGUGCCCGAUAAUAAGAAGAAGAGGUUCACUAUCGGGAGCUGUCCAGGUGCUGAAAACGGGAUUCCAGGGGGCUACAGAUGUGUGACGAGCAGCGAACGUCAACGCGAAGGAUCUGCACACACAGUAAUAUCUAAUGUAUCAUAUAAGUAGUUAAGAUUCCUGUUAAGAGCCUGCAGACAUUCCUCUUUCUAUGCCACCCUAGAAGCGUCGAUGUUGAAAAACACUCUCGCUUCACUUCACCUCUUGAGAUUCAGAGUUCCUCGCGAUAACAACCCAUCCGCACGAAAAGAAGAAAAAAAAGAAUCACUAAUACUCAGUGACCUCGAGUGUUUCUGUGGUGUGUUUACGACCAAGUCUGUUGUAUUGUCAUUUAUCGGGCUGCAGCGUCACUGCGAUAUUGACAGUUAGCCUUGCUGAGAUAUUUUAGUUCUUAAAAAAAUGUAGCGCAGGCAUUAGGCCCUGGAAACGCAUGAAAUAAAGGAUAAGCGGAUAAAAGAAUGGCAACAACAUAUCUGCCUUGUCAUUGUUUUCAAUGAAUGUGCUAUCACUUUCAGAUAAUUUACCCUUUUAUGAACCAUCAUGAAAAGGUAAAGCCUUUUGGAUAUACAGUAUAUAUAUAUAUAUACACACACACAGGAGGAAGGGUUGGUUGUACUGUUGUCCUCAAUUCCUCAAUUCCCACCGACUCGUAUAUUCUCCUGCUGUGACAAUAGGAGCCUUUUUGUAUUCCUGUUUUAUUAUGUGUUCUUAUGGGCAAGCCUGGUUUACACUGUAUUAUUUACGAGUAAAAUUAAAUUACUAUAAAGAUAAGAUUUUACAUACUAAACAUGAUCAGUUAAAAUAUGAUCCAUUGGUACUGACUAAAGUGGUAGUUAAAAAGUAGUUACAAUUAGCUCCAUCUUGACCAAAGACAAGAUCAAAGUAAGACUUAGAUACAGUAUUAAUAUAUAAAUGAUAAUGAUUAAAUAGUAAUAUAACACAGUGUAGCCACUCUGCAUUAUGAAUCUUUUAAUUUUUCCUUUAAGUAGAUUCAGUUGCCAAUACUUCUAUACUUUUACUUGUAAUUGAGUAUUCUCAUAUGUGGUAUUACUUUUACUUAAGUUAAUAACUUGAAUAGUUCAUCCACCACUGGAAGGCAGUGAACAAUUAAAAAUGACAGUUGAUGAGUCACCUAACGGUUCCGGACAGUAAUUAUCUGUCUGACGGAAGUGUUCAUAGACUACUAAAACGUUGCAUGAUUCCAUUCAUGCCUUCUUUGCAUACCAGUCAUUCAGUUGUUUCUUACCAAACCCAAACACGCUGAGCUCACAUGCACAACAGGUGAUUUGCUCAGUCAUCCUCGCAUGAUGCAACUAAAAGAACAAAAACAAAAUAUAAUGUAGUCAGUCUUAAUCUGAUGUCAGCUCUAUUGCUCUCACGACAUUAAAUGACACCACUUAUCACACACACACACACACACACACACACACACACACACACACACACUAACAAAUGACCUAAUCAAGUAGUAUCCUGACAUUUAGCUUGCCAUUCACAAUGUGGACAAACUGCAAUCCCAACAUUUUUUUGGGGCGAAGGGAGGAACACGCCCACAUGACAGCAUCUUCAGGUAAAACAAGAAGCAGUUCGGUGGUAUCAUGAAGCGUCACUAUGACUCACCUCUGCAACCUGCUCUAACUACCAAAAGCCGGGAUUUCACGAGCUGGAAACAGCUCGAAAACAACAUUCCAAAUGAUGGCAGAUCAUGGAGAACUUUGUAAUGGGCAGGAAGCCACCUAUUGCAUGAACGGAGGGACAUGCUAUAAAAUAAUUUCUAUGAAUACACUGUCCUGUGUGUAAGUAAAAAAAAAUUCAAUUGUCCUUAACUUUUACGUUGGAAUAUCUGUUGAUGUCACCAGAUGGCGGUAUUGCUGACAAAUGUCCUUGUAUCUUAAACCAGGUGCAAUGCAAAUUACAAAGGCAGCCGAUGUGAGCAGUUCCAGCUCUUCAGCUCUAACCCCGAUG